rnacentral:rRNA from 1 species
CCUACGGGAGGCAGCAGUGGGGAAUAUUGGACAAUGGGCGGAACUCUGAACCAGCGACGCCGCGUGAGUGAAGAAGUAUUUCGGUAUGUAAAGCUCUUUCAACAGGGAAGAAAAUGACGGUACCUGACUAAGAAGCCCCGGCUAACUACGUGCCAGCAGCCGCGGUAAUACGUAGGGGGCAAGCGUUAUCCGGAUUUACUGGGUGUAAAGGGGGCGUAGACGGUGCAGCAAGUCUGAUGUGAAAGGUCGGGGCCCAACCCCGGGACUGCAUUGGAAACUGUUGAACUGGAGUACAGGAGAGGUAAGCGGAAUUCCUAGUGUAGCGGUGAAAUGCGUAGAUAUGAGGAGGAACACCAGUGGCGAAGGCGGCUUACUGGACUGUAACUGACGUUGAGGCGCGAAAGCGUGGGGAGCAAACAGGAUUAGAUACCCCAGUAGUC